UGGGGCAUCGGACGGAUACUAAGGGU
rnacentral:piRNA from 1 species